rnacentral:rRNA from 1 species
UACGGAGGAUCCAAGCGUUAUCCGGAUUAUUGGGUUUAAAGGGUGCGUAGGCGGCUUUUUAAGUCAGGGGUGAAAGACGGUGGCUCAACCAUCGCAGUGCCCUUGAUACUGAAGAGCUUGAAUGAACUAGAGGUAGGCGGAAUGUGACAAGUAGCGGUGAAAUGCAUAGAUAUGUCACAGAACACCGAUUGCGAAGGCAGCUUACUAUGGUUAUAUUGACGCUGAGGCACGAAAGCGUGGGGAGCAAACAGG